UGAGGAAUAUUGCGCAAUGGGCGAAAGCCUGACGCAGCGACGCCGCGUGGAGGAUGAAGGUCUUUGGAUUGUAAACUUCUGUUAAGUGGGAAGAAAAGCGCAGUACUAAUACGACUGUGAAAUGACUGUACCAUUAGAGAAAGCACCGGCUAACUUCGUGCCAGCAGCCGCGGUAAUACGAAGGGUGCGAGCGUUCUUCGGAUUUAUUGGGCGUAAAGGGUGCGCAGGCGGUGUACUAAGUCAACUGUUUAAUUUCCCGGCCUAACCGGGAGUCAGCAGUAGAUACUAUUAUGCUAGAGGGUGGAAGAGAGAAGUGGAAUUCUUGGAGUAGCGGUAAAAUGCGUAGAUCUCAAGAGGAACACCGAUGGCGAAGGCAGCUUCUUGGUCCAUUCCUGACGCUCAUGCACGAAAGCGUGGGGAGCAAACAGG
rnacentral:rRNA from 1 species